rnacentral:lncRNA from 10 species
CACACCUUUGGUCUGGUUUGAAAGCUGGCGCCCGAAAAGGGGAGCGAAAGGACAAGAAAAAAAAAACACGCUCCGAAAGUGUCUGAGAUUGCUGCGGCCAUAAAGCAGAGCACUAACCGCGGUACUGAUAAGGGAGGGGAGCAGGGCUCCGCCGCCGGGCCUGUGCCCAUGGACCUAGGUGAGGACGGGCACUCCUUCCUCCGCGGCCAAACGUUGCAUUUCCCAAGACCACCCUGACCCGCCACGCCCCCAUCCUGUGCCUAUAAAAACUCCCGAGACCCUAGCGGGCACAGACACAAGCGGCUGGACAUGAAGAGGAACACACCGGCGGGAGAACACAGAACACGCACCCUUUCUUUUAGUCACCCUGGAGGCCUCGGAGAAGGCGGUUUCAGUGAUCCGUGAAGAGACCCCGAGUCUUUUACAUCCCGGAGAAUGACAAGAGAGCGAGUACCUGGGCGACGUUUACGUUCUGGGAUUUCGGGAGAUGCGGUUUUCUGCACGCCAGGGGCCAAGCCUGAGACGUAGAUGGACGGCAGGGAUAGGAGCUCUCUCCGCGCCACAAACGCCCCUGCUCAUACCUGGGUUCCUUGAUUUUCCUGCCUAUAUAACCCAGCCUCCCAUGGCCGGGCUCUGAGCUCUCAUUCUGCGGACUGGGACAAAGGGGUUAACUGUGAUGCGCUUUGUAUAACCCCAGGAUUCUGCACUUGCCCAAGGGCGAGGUGCAAAUCAAAAACUACGCACAACUGAACACCGAGAUCAGGUGAGUCCUGAGUGUCUCACGACAUAAAAUCCUUACGAUUUUAACAAGAGUUGUAUUUGUGCUAGCACUGUUAACUGACAAACGCAUGCCAGAUCCCAUCUGUCUUUAGCUCAAUGUGUGACGUUAGACACGUCGUUUUGCUCUUCAACUUUCUUAUUUGGAAAAAAAACAAGUGUUCUAGAUUUGCAGAGGACAUUUUCGGAGCUAAGUUCCAGUAGCUAUACUGUAAGUUGAUUUCUUGGGCAGUUCUGUUGGUGAGGAAAGAGGGCAAAUUGAGAAAUGAACAAACACAGAAGUUGCAAAAGCCCUGUGACUUACAGCACAGGACAAGUCUACAAACCCUGCCAUGCUACACUAAGCUCUAAUUGUUUUAACACCAGCUUACUCAGACCCGAUGAUCCAAGAUAAGACCAAAGCCAAACGGAUCCAGCAACUCUGCGCAGAUCUUCAUGUUCCAGCAGCUAAGUUCCACUGAAUAAACCUAUGAUUCGCCUAGUUUAGAAAUUCUGGCCGUGCGCGGUGGCUCACGUCUGUAAUCCCAGCACUUUCGGAGGCCGAGGCGGGCGGAUCACAAGGUCAGGAGACCGAGACCAUCCUGGCUAACACGGCGAAACUCCGUCUCUACUAAAGAUACAAAAAAAAUUAGCCGGGCGUGGCGGCGGGCGCCUGUAGUCCCAGCUACUCUGGAGGCUGAGGCAGGAGAAUGGCGUGAAUCCUGGAGGCGGAGCUUGCAGUGAGCCGAGAUCGCGCCACUGCACUCCAGCCAAGACGACAGAGCAAGACUCCGUCUCAAAAAAAAAAAAAAAAAAAAAAGAAAAAGAAAAAGAAAAGAAAAGAAAAGAAAAAGAAAAAGAAAUUCUGUCCAGUCCCUCCUGAGAAGGACCUUACUAACUUUCCCCCUAAAAGUGUCCUAUGAAUAGCUCCAGUCCCCAAACCCUUUAAAUUCUGGUCUCUGACUCACCCUUGUUUUAGGCAGUACUGGGACUCCACAGAGGUACGGCUCUUUGCUCAGCAAGUUUAAUAAAUCCAAGGUAGUAGAAUCAAUUUGUUUUCUUGGUCGUCUUGUUUUGAGGGAGUAGGUCUUCUAAAUGUUGAUUCUGAUCCCUGCCUAUGGAUAUUUAUGAAUAAAUAGAUAUUUGCACUCCAUCAUUAUGUGGAGCUACAAGUGUUAAAUUUAACUAUCUAAUUACCUCUAAAAUAACCACUAAAUUCAACAAUCUGAAACUUAUCUAAUUAGUUCCACAUCCUGGAAUGAAGGGAUUUAAUAGGUAAUAACAGAUCUCAGUCUCUAAUGGAGACAUAAUCACACAGACACCAGACGAAAGAUGAGUAAAGUGGAAAGCAAUAGGUAGAACAAUAAUUUGCUUUAUGCUAUGAUUUUUGGAGUGAAGCAAGAAAAUUAAUCAAGGAAACAAAGAAGAAAUCCAAGACGUAGUAGUGUUGGAUUUGCAUUUUUGUCAUAUGACACUACUUCUAUUCUACAGGAUUCACUUGGUCUCCAUCUGACCUCCUCAGAGUAGACUGCUCUUUCCCAAUCACUCCUGCAAUUACCCUAGGAGAUGUGUGAUCCUAAAGUAAGGGGGAAUUUUAAAUUUACUUCUAAGUACACCUGCAUGAUGCCAUUAGUCAGGGCAGGGUAGCUGAACAAACUCAGCUCUGAAUCCUUUAAGCAGAGGUAAUAAUUACUGACACUAUUUAAUCGGAUUCUGAACAUGAUGUGCCACUUUUCCUUUUGCGUCUGAAGUGACACCAGCCAUUUUCACAGUUUCUUCCACUAUGGUUAGUUUGAUAAGAGAAAUAUAAAGGCAAGUAUUUUUUUCACUCAGUUCACCUUGGUUCUAAGAGUGGGUUUAUAUAAAGAAAUGGAACGUGCUUCUGCUAAUUAAUAUUCAGGCAGAAAAAGUCAUGAAUUCCACUACAAACCCAUGUCCCUUCUUCCGAAGACAUGAGAAAUUGAUGAGGGUAUUCUUUCUUCUGUCGGUAAAACGAAGUCUGGGAUAUAGAUUGCAAUAUUAGCAGUGCCAUAGUGCAGAAUUUCUCAUAAUUAACACUUUUCACUUGAAUACAUAAGAAAAUAGAAUUGGAAUGCAAAGUUAAUAAAUUAAUCAUGUUAUAAACAAUAUGAACAUAGAAGCAAAAAUUGCAUGGUCUUUGGCAUGCAGUCUUUGAUUUGGGGAAUACAUUUUUUCUAUUGUUAUCAGGAAGAAAGAACAGAAACAGUUCAUAUUCACAUGGACUAGACAAAAGUAUGCAUUUAUGUGCUUACUCCAGAGGUAUAUCAAGUCCCCCAAUUUUUCCUAAUCUAGUCCAAAGAGAAUUGAACUGUCUGGACCAUCAGCAAAACAUUGGUACACUGUAUUGAUAGUAUCAUUUAAAUCUUCAAUGAGCAAGAAGUGUCAAGUAAGUUAUAGAUUUUGUUAAGCCCUGCAUGCUCCAGAGGGUGGGAGAGAAACACAAAAACCAUUCAUCGACCUGGUUCGUGAAUGAAAGUUUUUAGGAUCUGUGAAAUUCUGAGACAUUUCCUCCAAAGUAAAGUCUCAUUGUUGUAUCUCGAAGCUCCCGUCACUUAGAAGGGAGCACGGUGCUCACCAUGUUUCUCUGAGCUGUGAAAGCGGUGCGUUCCACACUUGGAGACCCUUCUCUGACACAUUUACCAACAGAUACUGGAUUAAAAUAUUAACAAAUUGAAUCCAGCAUUAUCUGUAAAGCAUAACGCACCAUGAGUUAGGGGAGAUUGCCUCGGGAAUAAAAAAUUAGUUAAGCAUUGAAAAGUCAAUUAAAUGUAAUAUACUACAUUAACAAAAAAAAACGCAUGUAAUCAUCUCACUAGAUGCAGAAGAAAUAUUGGACCAAAUUUGCCAUUCAUUCGUGGUGUUUAAAAAAUAUCCCAGUAAACUACGUAUAGAAGGAAAAUUCCUCAGAUGAAUAAUGGGCGUUUAAGAAAUUCCUACAACUAGCAAUAGAGUUAAUAGUGGAAGAAUAAAUAUGUACCCUUUAAUAUUGGAGAAAAGUGCAAAAUAUCUGUUCUUACUACUUCUACAUUUUACUGAAAGUCCUAGCUAGUGCCAGAAAGUAAGGAACGCAUGAAUGAAGAAUAAAUGGCAUACUCACUUUAGAAUAAGAAAAAUAUAUUCAUUUGCAAGCAACAUGAUCAGAUACACAAAAAAUCCUAGUGCAUCUACAAAAAUAAGCAUUAUAAGUAAAUGCAGCUAUGUCACAGAUUACAAUAUACAAAAAUUAAUUGUAUUUCUAUGUACUAGCAUCAAAAAAAUGGAAAAUUAAAUUACCACUUUCAAUAGGUUUAAAACAAAUGAAAUAUUUAGAGAUAAACUUGUCAAUGUGCACAGGACUUGUACCUAGAAAUCUACAAAAGAUGGCUGAGAAAAACUCAGGAAAACUUGAAUAAUUGGUGCUGUUUGACAUAUUUACAGAUUGAAAAAGGUAAUAUUAUUAAGAUAUCAUUUUUUUCCCUCUGCGUUGAUCUAUAGAUUUACUACAAUCACAACAAAUAUCCCAGUAGGAGAUUUUUGUUUUGUUUGUUUUGUUUUCUUUUCUUUUUGUUUGUUUGUUUUUACAGAAAUUGACAAGCUUAUUCUGAAGGACCUAGAGUAACCUAAAUAAUUAGGAAAAGAAAAACAAAGAGGACUUACACCAGGUGAUGUCAAGACUUAUUAUAAAGCUAAGGUAAUCAAAAUAAUGUGGUAUUGUCUCAAGGAUACUUACCCAGAUUGAUGGACUAGAAUAGAUAGUCCAGAAAUAGACCAACGUAUGUGGUCAACUGAUUUAUGACAGAGGUAAAAUGUUAUUUAAUGAGUUUUUUAAACAAAUGAUCCCAGGCAACUGAGUAUGGAAAAAAGGAUUCCCUACCCUUACCUCACAUCCUAUACAACAAUUAAAUCAAAAUGGUUUAUAUACGUAAAGCUUAACAUUAAAGAUAUCAAACUUGUAGAAGAAAAGAAGUCUGCACAUAUUUGAUGUAGGCAAAGCUUUUUCAGAAGGAACCAGAAAAGCAUGAGCCCUUACAAAAAAAGAUACACUGGAUUUCAUAAAAUAUUAAAAUGCUUUUUCUUUGAAAGACAAUAUUAAGAAAAUGAAAAGGCAAGACAUAGACUUGAAAAGAAAUGUAAUAUAUGUCAUAUGCACACAUAGUUGUUAUACAACAUAUGUGUUAUGGAUACACAUAUAACAAAGGACUUUUAUGGAGAAUAUAAAACACAUUUUAGAACUCAGUGAUAGAAACACUCAGUAAGGAUAAGGGCAAAAAACUUGAGCAGGCAUUUCACAAAAUAAGAUGCUUAUAUGGCCAAUAGGCACACUAAAAGAUGUUCAACAACAUUAAUCAGUACAAAAAUGCAAAUUAAAUCUAUCAAGGAUUAAUAGGUAACAACAGAUUUCAACUCCCCUGAAUGGAGAAACAAUUAGUAACACAGAUAUUAGAUAAGUUACUUGAAGGAUCAAUCGAUAAAAAGAUACUUGGGCUUAUUUCCAGGUUUGUGUUCUUAAAAAGUGAUGCAUUCAACAGAGCAUUUGAGGUAACUGCUAAUUAGGGACGGUACUUCCUUCUCUUUCAUCUAAUGGGAGAGUGAAAUCAGAUUAGAACUAGUGCUUUCCUAAUGAGAUCUUUUCUCUCUUUCUCAGGAUCCCGACUCAGAUUGAAAAAGCAGAGGAUGGUCACUGCCUUCCAGGUCUGAGGCUGUCUCCCAGAAACUUCAUUCCUCGCUUCGCCUUGGUAGGGAAGUUCCCGGAGGUGUUUGAAAAGCUGGAAACUUAAGUGGGACAUGGAACGAUAUUUGUGUCCCAGUUAUAAAAAUAGGCAGAAAAGACAAAGGUGGUGUGGGGGAAUUAGCUCAAGCGGUAGAGCGCUUGCUUAGCAUGCAAGAGGUAGCAGGAUCGAUGCCUGCAUUCUCCAGCUUCUUUUAAUCCCUAGGCUACCAAUGGUAUCUGGUAAAUACUUUCAGCGGAUUUACCGCUCUUUGUUUAACUCAGUUUCAUCUUGUUAUGUACAUCUUUUUUUUUUUAAGGAAAUUAUACAUAGUAUUCCAUGCGAAAGCAAAAAAGGAAGCGAUUAGUCACAAGUGAGUUUUGCCAAUACAGGUUUUGGGGCUUCAGCUCGAAGUUAAUACAAUGUAUUUUUGUGGGGAAAUCAAACUUUAGCCUUUUGGGUACAAAAUAUGAGAAACAGCCUAGAAAUAGUGUCAGGAGGCAAAAGCAGGAGACUUGAAUGUGCCAACCUUUUGCUUUUAUUCACAUUGACAACACAUGGUCAGGUAGAGGAUGAAAACGUGUCUUCUAUCAGAUUAUCUGAGAGUUGGCCAGGCUCCCACCUUCACUUAUACUCCUUCCUUACCUCUCUCCUGUGUAGGUAAGAGAGGUAAGGAGAGAGGUAAGGAAGGAGUAUAAGUGAAGGUGGGAGCUAGCAUAUUAACUCUAGUGGUCGGAUACACUCUCACUAAGAAAAGUGACAUUUAUUCCUUCUAUUCAUCUCUCUGAAAGCUCGUUCUGACAAAAAUGUGCUUAAAAUAAAUGGGGACCUAGGUCUUCCUCUAAUUUCCAAGAUGAACCAAAAUGUAAAAAAAUGUAUUUUUGAAAUUGCAACACUAUCCCCUAUUUAAAGAAACUACAUGAGGCGCUGUAUUAACAACACAUAUGUUGACUAGCUCAACUGGCCCAAGCAGAGCUCAGAAUGCUGGAGAGAGUGGUCUUUGGAUAGAUGACUCCAGGAAGCUCUUGUAGGUCCCUGGGACGUGCCCCUCUUUCCAUCCUUCUUUCUUUCCCAUCACUCAAAUCUCUCUCUGACACCAUUUGACUUCUCAGCAUUGCCCUUUGUUAAUCGUAAUAGAAAGACAAUGUUAUUGAUUACAUGUUUUUCUAUUUUAUCUUCUUAUUCAUAAAUGAUCUCAAAAAUGAAUGUCAUAAAUAAUAAACAUGUUGUUGAAUUUUUGUCCCAUAGGAGCAGCCUCUUUCAUUCUCAGGAUGUGCUCUCCUAAUAAACUGGGACCGUGAAGGAGGGACCUGAAGCUGCCCCAAACCACCUGCAGGUCCAUGAAGGCCAUGCCUCCACCCACUAAUCACUCUGAAAGUAGUGCCCCUCCACUCUUCCCCAACCACAUUUCCUUUUCAGGCAAAAACAUUUCUAUGGGUUUGUUAGACCCUAGCUUCUAAUCCUUUCUUCAGUCUUUACUGAUCUGAAGCCACUCUCUCCUUUGAGGCUUCUAAAUUAUCUGUAUAGCCUUUCUCCAUUCAGCAAAUUUUCAUCAGGCAAAAAUCCUACUUGACGCUAGUUAUACUCAGAGUAAAAUAACUAUUUUCCUGUCUUAAAUGAGAAUUCUUCACAGGUGGAAAGCAGAUUUGGAAUCCACUACAACUCCAAGGCAGUGGAGCUAAUGUAGCCUCCCCUGGGCUACAGGGGAAGCCUUCUUCUGUGGGCCUGGGAAUUGAAGAACUAGACAGGCAUAAGAAGGACAAGUGUGGUGCCCAAUGGAGCAAGAGAAGGGGGGAGGAAGGUGACAGGGAAGGGAAAUGGCAGGAGAAGCACCUACACAGCAGACACGGUAUAACCUGCAUCUGUUUUUCCUUUUGGCUGAGAGAUCCCUGAGCUCUGUGGUGACAAUUUUCCAUAAUUUUUCAUAUAAAAAAUGAAGAUUAUAAACUAUUUCUAGGCAUUUUACCUGCAUUACUAUUAAUAUGUGUACAGCAUCUAAAAUAGGGCCUAGACGGCAAUUGCACAGUACUAUUACUUGCUAUUGUUGUGGCACUUUCUGUGUGGAUCACUGGCCUCAUCCACUGUGCCUGGUGCUGAAGAAGUGCUUCAGGAAUGAAUCCACAGAUUGAGAUGAAAAUUCACAAGCUUUCUCUUUCUCAACUCCUCCAAGGUUCUCCAUCACUUUCUGAGUCCUACAGGAGGAAAGUGCUAUUGAAGAUGAGGCGCGUAUGGCGUGAAGUUCUGGGGCUGGGAGAAGCUGCCCCGCUACUUCCGGGUGGCCUUGCCUGCAGGGAGCAGGUGAGGAUCACAACUCUAGAGCGGGCUGGAAUAGCUGUGCCCGCAAGCCAGGCAGUUCCAGGUGGUGCUUCUCCAACUGGAACGUGCUCUCUAAUUCCGAGAGAUGAAGAAGGCGAAAUUGGGAAGUGAGGAGAGAGGUCUCCCUCAUGACCUAUUUUGGAAAUCCGUAUUCUUCACACUCUCAGGCUCGUAGAAGUUUGCCCAAGGCAGUAUCUGAGAAGCUCCGCCCUCAAUCUUGUCCUGCCAGGGAUUUGGCGGCCCAAAGUACCGGCAGGCUCCUGAUAACCAGGAAAAUGGGUGGGGUGGCGGGCCUCCUCAGUGAGGAAUUAGCUCAGGCGGUAGAGCGCUCGCUUAGCAUGCGAGAGGUAGCGGGAUCGACGCCCGCAUUCUCCAGUUUCUUAUCUGGUUUAUGUCUCUUAGUUUGUAUUCCCCGUUGUUUCUCCUGUUGACGACAUCUGUGCCUCUUAUCUGGGAGAAGAUCAGAGGAAACUGCCGCCUCCCCCAAGCACGUGUUUUACUGCUCCCCAUGUAAGAGUCUUGUUGCCCCUGCUUCCAUCCUCCCAUCUUUUCCACUCCUGCCACAGGUUUGGCACUUCUAGCUACUCAGGUCUUAAUGCAAAUUUCCCGUCUUUAGACAAGUACAGCUAAAAGUGAUGCCCACACGAUCUCUCAGUUCCUACUACAUCUUCACAAAUAUCGUCUCCUCCAGAAAGUAUGUCUUUAAGAUACUGGUUUGUUUUUCUCUCCCCUAGAGUGGGAGCUUCCUGAGUACCGAAACGCUGUCUAUGUACACUGUGUUCAACUCGCUUCAUCCCCAUGUGUAGAGUUAAAGUUCUGUAAAAUACGGUUACUGCCUUGAACAGAUAAGGAAACAGGGAGAUCAAAGACAGAGCAAUACUUAAAAACAUUAUCCUGCCACAUUUCUAAAAUCUUAAUAAUAGCAUUCACUAAUGUUUUUGGUUUUUCUUUGUGCUUUCUCCAUAUCCCCUUAUCAUUAUUAUUAUUAUUUUACAUUUGGCUGACCAUUUUACACUUCUUUUUCAAAUGACCAAUCAGAUUUUGCAAUUUUCUAGUUAAUUCCUGUGUUUCCUUCACCAUUCUAUUUUCUUUUUUUUUCUUUUUCUUUUUUUUUUUUCGGGCGGCUUCUUCUUCUUCUUCUUCUUCUUCUUCUUCUUCUUCUUCUUCUUCUUACUUCUUAUAUUUAAUGCACUGAUUUCUUCUAAUGUUUUGUAACUUGGGUAUUCAAGGUGUAAUUUAAAAUGAGAAAGCAGUUUCUACAGAAUCCUUAGAAAUAUGUCAUUAUAAGUCCCCAUUUUCAUUAUAUUCUAAGGAGCUUGAAGAUAUACUUUUGAUUCUUUUUAAACUGUGCAUUCGAGAAUUAAUCUCUUCUUGUUUACUUUUAUGUUCAGUCUUUCAAUGUUAUUUUCUAAUUUUUGUGUAUCAUUUUAUUUAUCAACACAUAAAUAUAUACAUUCACAUAAGUAUACGAGUUAUAUAUACAUGUAUUUAUGAACGGCAGCUGAACCACACAUUAGUGCUAAUAUUGGUGACUAAAAGUUGGAGAACCAGACAUUAUGUACCUCAUAAAGCGAAGCAAUGGAAAGUGCACAAGCCCACCUAUCAAAUUGUCUUGUUAAAAGAUUUGAAGCUGAAUCUAAGUGAGCCUCUACUUGUAACUACCAGUUUACAAGAAAUAGAGUAGAUUAAAAAACAUGUCAAGGGGCAGGAAAUAGAUACAAUGAAAUAAAUACAACAUAGAGGUGUUUCUAAGGAUAAAAGGCCCAGUUCCUUCAACAAUUAACUGGCAUUAACUCUUUAUGAUACUAUAAUGAUAAAUAUAUGUCAUUAUAUAUUUGUUAAAAAAAAAAAACCCAGGAUGUAUAACACAAAGAGCAAACUAUAAUGUAAACUGUGGACUUCAGUUAACAAUAAUGUAUUACUAAUUACUGGUUUACCAGUUGUAACAAGUGUACCAUACUGAUGCAAGAUGUUAAUAAUAGGGAAAAUUGUAAGAGAGGGAGAAUGAUGGAGUUUAUGGAAACUCUAUCUAUUCUGAUCAAUUUUUCUUUAAACCCAGAACUUCUCUAAAAAAUAAUGUCUAUCAAUUUAAAAAAAAAGUCUAUCAAUUUAAAAAAAUAAUAUCCAUAAAAGAAAGACCAGGGACCUUUUAUGGAUGAAAAGAGUCUUAAAAAACAUAAAAAUCUGUAGAUUUUACUUUAUUAUUUAUAAUCAGCCAUUAAGAGAAAUUUUUUUUGUAUGGGUGACAAUCAGAAAAAAAAGUUAAUAUUAGAUCAUAUUUAUGAUCUAUUACCAAUUUAUUAACAACAAGUACAUACACACAUGCAAAACACGGCCCUAAAAUGUCCUAGUUCUCUCAAGCUAUUGAUUUCAUCCUUAUCUCUGCUGCUGAGUUCAAGAAAGUGAAAUGUGUAAUGGGUAUCUCUCCUUUCCAACCUUCCUUCCAGUUCACAACCUAGUGCUGUCCACUUGCAUGGGAUGUUUCUUUUCCAUCACAAUGCUCUGAGAUAACGAAGUCGAGGGAAGUUUGUGCAGCCCUCCAGACCCUCCAGAUUUCAAAGGAAAGCCCACCGCUGCUGGUCUGGGGGAGCUGAUGGCCUAUUCAUGGAUGAGAUGGACUAAGGACAGUGGGAAGCACAAUGGACCAACAGUAUUGUUGGAGGGGACUGCGUGAGGAAGCAGGAGCCUAAACAACACUCUCCAGAUACUGCGUGAACACUGUCUCCAGAGGGGUCUUGUAGCAUCAAAAAUUAAAGCUAAAUGUUGAUUUCUUUCUGGUAAUUAUUUUGUUCAGCAACCUGGAAAAACGAACAAAAAUUAUCUCAUUCCCUUUCCUAUCUAAAGUCUGAAAUAUUUAAUUAAAAUGAUAAAAUUUAAAAAAGUGUUUAUUAGGCCAGGCUCGGUGGGAGGCCGAGCCGGGGGGCGGGGGAAAAUCACUGGAGGCCAGGAGUUUGAGACCAGCCUGGCCAACAUGGCGAUACCUCAUCUCUACUAAAAAUACAAAAUUAGCUGGGCGUGGUAGUGCACGCCUGUAAUCCCAGCUACUCGGGAGGCUGAGGCAGAAGAAUCGCUUGAACCUGGAAGGUGGAGGUUACAGUGAACCGACAUCGCACCACUGCACUCUCAAAAAAAAAAAAAAAAAGUCUUUAUUGAAAGUUUUAAACUUAAAAGUGCUCUCACAUAUAAAUACAUCAUUUUCUCUAUAUACAUGAUUUUUGCAAGUAUACAUGUCUAGACACCCUAGGAAUGGUGGUGCCGUGGUGUGAACGUGGAGCCUGGAAUGGCCAGCCCCAAAACCUCCUCCUCAUCAACUGUUGACUCAUCAACAGUCAGUCAGUAAUCAUAACUUCCUUAAAAUACAAGAGCCGCAGAACAUUCCGGGAUAUCUGUGCUACUUAAUCUGGCAGUUCCUACUGUGUCUUGCCCCAGGUGUGACGUGCUCUCUUCCAUGAAAUUAAUAACUGCAAACUGUAAUGGGAACAAGGCAAUUGAUUGUCUCCGCACUCUUGCCCAAAGCGUUCUCUGAGAUGUUUGGUAGUUAUUUGGGUCCUUACUUGAUCUUCGUGGCCUUAAAACAAAGGGAAUAUGGCAUUUGUGAAUCUGAAAGACUUGUGAUAAUUUUCUCAUUUCCUCCAGGCUGUGCGCAUCACCCUGAGUUUGCGGAGGGAUCAGCCCUUUUUCAGAGCCCCCUCACGUCCUGAGUAUCAUCCUCAGAAUGUGGGGCUUGGGCUCAAUUUGAAGAGGGUGUGAGGGAAAGCCAAAAUGCAGGGAUUGUCCCACAGUGCAGUCCUGCUUUGUAAAUCCCUUCCUCUGACUAGCUUGAUUUUAGUCUCUGAGAAUGGAUGGGGUGGGAUGGCUUUUCAGUACUUUCUGCUGAGAUAUUUUUGUACAUUCAUUUCUCUCUCAAGGAGCCUCUAUAACAAAAGAGAAAAAACUGUCUCGGGUUCUGUGUGUGGCACAUGAGUUUGAAGGAUUUCUGAGACUAUUGUUCAGGACUGGCGUUACAGAUGAAAUAUAGAUUCAGGACCAGUGACGAUGGGAUCCUUGGCAGGCGGACAUAACGCCUCGUUAAGGACAGACUGCCCACCACUCUCUUUCUUUCUCUCUUUCCGAAUUCAUUUUCUAUAAAUUCCACUGGGUAUCAGAACCUUCCUUAGGCUGACUGGCGCUUCGCAGUCUCCCCUCCAAGCCCGGAUCUGUUCCCCAAAAUUCUCUCGUUCAUGCUUCUAGCUUCUCUUCUUAGCUUCUCUAGGUUCUCUUCUUAGCUUCUCUAGGCUUUCCUUGUUUCCCAGGUUGAAUCCCCAGUUCCAAGCGGCUCCUGUAACAGGGAGUGGGAGCCCACCCUCCCACUCGCCGUGUAGCACUCUGCAUCUCUGAGAAGAAAGUGACCACCCCAGCCCAGCACAGAUUUUCUUCGUCUUUGAGCACCUGCUCGGAGUUCCCGCCCCUCGUCACUCCUUGGUUUUCCCUCAUUGCCUACAUAGAGUCUGUUGGAUGUCGGUCAAGGUAUACCCAGCCCCUGCCAUGGGAACCUUUUGGGGAAAAACAGACCUGAUUUAUUUAUACUUCAAAGAUGCCCAAUGAUUCCCUGUCGUCUGUGUACCAUAAAAAUAAAAACAGAUAAAAAUAAGAAGAUCAAUGUAUUCGACAUCUACACCCAGGCGUACAGCUCUCAGAUGAUCAACUGGGAAGCGACUGUUGCCCACCCAGAGGGAAGAAAGGAGCAAAGCCGGAGGAUGCGGACGCAGACCCUGCAGGCCGCUGCCUCCCAAGUGAGCGGGUUACAAAUUCCGCUAACCUCAGCCCCCUACCCCGCUAUUGGCUAUUUGAGGCAUGUGGGGGAUUUUUCCGGACUAGAAGUCUUGUGUUCCACCUGGUUUUUCGGGACCACUCAACAUUCCUGAGCUCCAUCCCUGCCAAGGUGGAGCCAGCACAGGACUGCAGGCGGAGUCUCCAGACUCAUCCAGAAACAGCCACUGCGCGGAGCCGGGAGCGCGUGUCAAACGAGCACCCACAGAAGCUCUGGGCCCGACACGAUUCCACUUGCUUGAUAUUUCAGAAAAGAAGGAAUUAUACCCCAGCUGUAAAGGGAAUAUGGGUUACAGCUAUAACAAGUACCGGGAAGGUAAGCGUUCCUUGCAAAAGCUGCCUUUUCUCAGGCUCGAACAUCAGGACCUUCAGAUUAUGAGACUGACGCGCUGCUCACUGCGCUAAGAAGACGACGAAGUGCAACGGCGCGCCAGCUUCCACAGGAAUUUCCUAAUUUCUUUCCCCAGGCGGGUUAUUUUGGUACUUCAGUUUUAUUCGCCCAAGGUCGCUAGUUUUCCAAGAUUAUUUCCAAUAGGCACGCGUAGGAUCCUUUUUAGCCCAUAGGAAGAACCGCACACUCGGAAGCCAUAGUGUACUGAACAAUUAUGCCUGAUCUCAUUUUCUAUUGAUCUGGAUCUUCGUCCCCUCAGAUAUAUUAGGCAAUAUUUACUGUCCAGUUCCGUUAGUUGGAAUAGCGGGCUCUCACUAAAUGCUAGUUGAAUGAAUGAAAAGCUCCCAAACAUGCCUGCAGUUUACACUUACCUCUCUUAAUUUAAAUUUGCAUUUCCACUUAUGUCACCUGAGAUAGUCCCCUCAAAAUAUCACCAACUGAUUUUAUGAUGAGUCUUCAUGUUUUCUUCACCUCUAUGUUGCAAAUACCCUAUUAAAGAUUUUAUUCCCGUAAUUUCAUUUAGUCCAAUUUCUUUAUUUAUUUAUUUGCCAUAAAUCUAUACAUCAUUAUCCCCAUCUUACUGAUGAAACUGAGGCUCAGCAGAACUAAAUCCACAGCUGAUAAGGGGCAAAACCAGAUCUUGAAAGCAGACUUUGUUUUCCAAAAAGUGUGCUGCCCUCUUUCUCCCUCUAGAUCAUGUAAUCUCCCCUUUUCCUCUCCACACUACCACACUCAUUUGUUAAGCAAAUAGCUAUAGAAUUUUAGAUUCGUUGGUCCAUUCAACAAACUGUAAUUCACCACCUGCCAUGUACCCGGCAUUUAUGUUCUAGAUUUCCAAGGCAUCCUUGGCCCUUUAUCCCUCACAUCCCUACAAACACCUUAAAUCAUUAGUUCUCAAAGUGCGGUGCCCAGACCCACCACAUAAUUCUUGAGGACACAUUCCAUUUCAGGCACUGUGCUACCUGAAGGCUUUGAGGAUUCAGAGGAAAUUGAGCCAUCCCUGACCUCAGGAGCUGACAGGACAAACUGUCCUAUCCGGUCCGGUUCCUGUACUCUCAAACUUCCGGAUUCUUAUAAAUGCAUCUUCCUAAAUAUUUUAUUUUGAUACUGUAACUCCCACUCUGCACUAGUUUGCUAGGGCUGCCAUAAUAAAUAUCACAGACUGAGUGGCUUAACCAACAGAAAAUUUUCUCAGUUCUGGAGGCUAGAAGGGUUGUUAGCUUUGGUUUCUCCUGAGGCCUCUCUCCUUGGCUCGCAGAUGGUCACUUACCUUCUUGCUAUAUUCUCCCACGGUCUCUCUCUCUACACAUAUUUCCAUCUUUUCUUAUAAGAACUCCUAUUGGGAGUUAGGGUUUCGACAUGAAUUUGAUGACAGGUGGGGCGGGACAAAAUUCCACCAUGACAGGCUCAAAGUUGUUUACAUUUUCACCUUCAUAUUUGCAGUAGACUUUGUUACUGGAAAGCACUACUUGCUUUUUUUUUUUUUUUUUAACACGUAUUUUAAAGCCCCUUAAUUAAACAGACCAUAUACCUUUCCUUAUCUAGGAAUUGCCACUCCAGUGCCUCGUCCACACAUCCAUUAUUUCUCCUCAUCUCCAUUCUUCAAGGCCCAUUCUUGAUUCUUUCAUUCUUAUUUGAAAGAAUGUAGCAUGGAGGAAUGUAGCAUACUAGUUUUUCCCUCGGAAUUGCAUGACUCAUUGUCAUGCAAAUUACCCAGUCUCAGGUGUUCCUUUUAGCAACACAAAAUAGACUAAGGUGUGUACAUUUUUGUACUUGUCAAAUGUGGUUAGAAUACCAAAUGAGGUACUGCCUCACAGAUCCCUGAGAUGUCAUUACUUGGCAUAACAAAAUCAUAAUAUAGAUAUCAUAAUAAUACAUAAGCAGACAGGGAAAAAUCAUAGUAAUAACAAAGCUCAUUAAGGGAUAGCCACAUAAGUUUAUCAGUUAGUUCUCUCUAAACUCUGUAAUAUGAAUGUGGCCAAUCUCUGGGAUUUAAUAAUACAAAAAAUAUGUUUUGGUCUCCCAGUGUCAUUUUAAUCUUAUUCAGUAGGAUACAUUCUUUCCCUACCUCCAUAUGAAGACAUACACAGUUUUAUGCCUCAUCCCAGGCAAUACAGUCUCAGUCUCAAAGUUAAGAUGCUGAGCUCCAUGUAACACUCUAAAAUUUAAACUUGACGUAAAGAUCAGAUCUCUUCCUUUACCUGCUGGGGCUGUUGAGUCAUGACUAUUUGGAUAGUUUUCUAGGGAAAACAUUUCAUUUCUCUUUUCUUAGCCUAACAUUCUACCAUUUGUUAGCCACUGUUCUGAGACUUCUGUGCUUCAAUUGUGGUGGAAGAUGAGUUAAAGCCAGGGAGGGGUGGUGGGGAGAAUAAUAAAGUUCUUACUUUUAAAUGGUGUUGUCAUUGGUCAGUGUCAUGCUUUCCAUUCAGCUGUUUGAAUACGAAUAAUUUUUUUAAUACGAUCCAUGAUUGUGGAUUCUCAUGUGCAUUUCCCUUGAUGAUGAUGUACUCUCCUGUACCCCCUUCUUUAUGACUGCUUUUCCAGCCACUGCAAAACUCAAAGCUUCCUUUUGCUUCUUUUUCCUUAGCUACAUUCAUCCUUCCACAUAGCCCACUGGGACUGGCUCAAAGUUGACCUCAUGCUAGUGCUCCCUCUCUCCUGAUUCCCACACCUGUCUUGUGGGAAAGGCCUACAUCUGGUUGUCCCUGAAAAGCCCUGGGACUACAGGCCAAUCCCAAUAUAGAAGGAACUUCAGGCAGUCAAUCUGCCCAUUUCUCCCCUUUACAUUUCUCAUGCAUCUAACUACCGUAUCUCCCAUAUUUUGGUGCCAGUGAUUGAACUUGUUGGCACCUGUAUUAGUCCAUUGUCACACUGCUAUAAAGAACUACUGGAGACUGGGUAAUUUAUGAAGAAAAGAGGUUUCAUUGACCCACAGUGCCACAGGCUGUACAGGAAGCAUGGCUGGGAGGCCUCAAGAAACUUACAAUCAUGGCGGAAGGCGAAGGAGAAGCAAGCAUGCCUUACCAUGGCAGAGUCCGAGAGAAAGAGCAAAGGGGAAAGUGUUACACACUUUUCAACAACCAGAUCUCAGGAGAACUCACUCAUUGCCAUGAGAACAGCAUGAGGGAAAUCUGUCUGGAACAGGUUUGUGAACCCAUUGAGGUGUUCAUCCAGUGCUGUUUCAGAGAAAUCUCUAUUUCAAUCUAUUCCUAUACAUUAGUUACUGAAAAAGAACAGACAGUCACAAAAACAAGUUGACCUUUUUGUGAUCCUUGAGCUCAGUUGCGAAGGGCCCUCGUGACCGGGCCUCAUGCCAAACAACUCGUUACAAAAAGAACUAGGGUUCCAGACUGGGCUGAAGCUUCAUGAGACUUCUCCUCGUCUGUGGGCAGACAGGUGGCCAACUCUGGAGCCCAGGCUGUUGCUUCCCGGUCUGUUGGUGAAUCCUCCAUAGUCUGGUGAGUGUACAUAUAUAUGUAUAUGUAUAUGUAUAUAUAUAUAUAUAUAUAUAUAUAUAUAUAUAUAUAUAUAUAUAUGUCUUUUUCCUUCCCAUUGCAAUUUGCUUAUUAUAUCAGUCUGCUUAUUAUUUCAAUUUGCUUACUAUAUCAUUUGCUUAUUAUAUCUGCAUUGACAUUUACGUGGGAUAAACGUUGUUUACCCUCAUAUUGUGUGUGUGUCUUUUCUUCUCCCUUUACAUGUCUUCCACACAGAACAUGUACACAUGUAUCUACAGGUGCAUGUGUGUAUGUAGAUGUGAUUGCACCCGUGUUUAUGUAUACAUGUCUGUGUACACCACAUGCAUGUGUAAAUGUAUGUGGGUACACGUGCAAGCAUGUGUAUGCAUACAUGCAUGUAAACAUAUGCACAAAGGUAUCUACACAUACAUGUGUAUACAUGCACGCACGCAUGUUUACGUAUACAUGCAUGUACACCAUAUGUAUGUGUGUAUGCAUGUGUGUAUUUGCAGAUGCAUAUGCAUAUGCAUACAUGCGUGUACAUGCAUGUGCACACGUAGCUGCACAUUCACGUGUGUAUGUAUACAUGUAUAUACACGUGUGUGCAUGUGUGAGUGUGUAAAGAUAUGUAAACAUGAAUGUGCAAAUGCAUGUGGGUGUGUGUGCAUGGAUGUAUGUGUAUCCAUGUAUUGUGUACAGAGUAUGCAUGCAUGUAUGUGUGUAGAUAUAUGUGCAGAUAGACAUGUGCUCACAAGCAAGUCUGCAUGUAUGUGUGUACAUGUGUAUGUGUUUACCCAUGUACGUGUGUAUGCACGUGUGUACGCAUGCAUGUACAUGCAUAUGCAUUUGUGUAUGCAUGCAUGCACACAAGUAUGCAUACAUGUAUGCAUUGUGCACAUGUAUGCACAUGUUUGUAUGAAUGAUGUAUAUAUACAUACACGUAUACACCAUGUAUACCAGCCUACAAAUGCAUCUGUGCACACACACGUGAAAGCGUGUGUAUGCCUGAAUAGAAGUGUCCAUACAUACAUGUGCAUAUCCACACAUACAUGUCUACAACACGCAUGCGUGCACACAUGCAUGUGCACACACAAAAAUUUGUGUGCAAACACAUGCAUGCAUGACAUAUAUGUGUACAUGGAUAUGUGGGUAUACAUGCAUGUGCAUACACAUGUGCAUUUGCAUGCACACAUGCACACAUAAUACAUGUAUAUAUACAUACAUGUUUGCGCAAAAAAGCACGAUGCAUACAUGUACACAAACAUAUAUGUUCAUACACACGUACUUGUGCAUACAAAUGCACAUGUGUACCCACACAUGCAUUCAGACGUCUGUGUACAUGUAUACAUACACCUAUACGUACAAACAUACACACAUAUACACUCAUACAUGUGUGCACACACGCAUAUGUACACACAUGCACGUGUACAAAUACAUGUGUGAGUCUGCAUGCAUUUGUGCAUAUUCAUUGAUUGUGUACACAGUAUGUAUGUGUGCAUGUAUGUGUGUAUACGUGUAUGUGUAGAUGCAUACGCAUAUGUUAACAUGCAUGUACACUCAUGUAAACGUGCAUCAACACAUUUGUACACGUAUUUAUUUGUGUAUCAGGUUUGUAUACACGUACCUACACAUGCAUGCGAGCAUUCGUGCAUGUAUGUACACGAGAAUGCAUAUGUGUAUGCAUACCUGUAUGUACACAUAUAAGCACAGGCAUCUACACGUGUGCGUGCGCACCUAUGUGCACACUUAUGUAUACAUGUAUGUGCACGUGCAUAAAUGAAUUAAGAAAGAAACAAUUCACCCAAACAAGGAGGAAAAGAUGAACAUCUCAAGUACCUAUGAGCAUUUUUACAUGCAGACCCCUUACUGACAUUGGCCAAGACAGAUGACAAGAGAUCAUCAAGGAGAGAGUUCAUUAGAAAAAGAUACUGCUAACAUUAGAGAAACAUAGCAUCAAUCACCCAUGGCAUGGAUGCUGUUGAGCUUCCACCUGAAAAACAAACAACAACAACAACAAACCUGGUGGGUAGAAAUAGGAACAGGUUUAGCAUUACAUCCCUCCCUCCUUUUCCCGGGACCUGCAUUGGGCCCCAUAAGCUUGGCAUGAACCUAAGUGAAUAAGACACCAAAGGACUGAAGAUUAACACUACCUUCAGAAUUAGGACUCAGAGCCAGGAAUUUCUUUAGACUACAUAACCAGUCUAUGCAUAUGUGAGGUUUUGGACUGUAGUUCACACUGGCUGCGCUUCCUUAUGGAAACAGUGACUACUAGAUGGAGGAUAUUAAUGAAAGAUAGCACACAUCCAUACUAAAUGUCACAACAGCAAAAACCAUAAGAUAGUUACUGACAAUGAGUCGUGCAAUUCCGAGGGAAAAACUAGUUUGCUACAUUCCUCCAUGUUACAUUCUUUCAAAUAAGAAUGAAAGAACCAAGAAUGGGCCUUGAAGAAUGAAGAUGAGCAGAAAUAAUGGGUGUGUGGACCGCGCAUUGGAGUGGGAAUUCCUAGAUAAGGAAAGGUAUAUGGUCUGUUUAUUUAAGGGACUCUAAAAUACUUGUUAAAAAACAACAAAAAAAAGCAAGUAGUGCUUUCCAGUAACAAAGUCUACUGCAAAUUUCUUUCUGUACAUGGGAAAUAAGGACUGUGGGAUUCUUUGGGUGGAUCCCAGCACCUAGAGUUGGAUCUGAUCAAAAAGAAGUAAGUGCUCAGUAAACAUUACCUACUGCUUUGGUUGCCUUCCCCCUGUGGAGUGCUGGCCUCCUGGAUUGAGCUUGCAUCAUAGGCCUUCAGUAGGAACUUACUUAGUGGAUUUACAGGUUGAGGUUAGAACCCAUCAGGAUUCUUUUCCUGGAAAGAACAGGCAUGUGUUCUUCCCUUCCCUCUAAGUUUUCACAUAGACACUGGGUGAGGAAAGAGCCCUAAAUUGCUUGAAAAAUUGAUUGCUCUUUGAGCAAAGCAAGAAACCCUCCUAUGGAAGGGCAUCAUUUGGGCAUAUAUCGGGGUCUCAGUACGAAGAUGACUGCUCAAGAGGUCAAGAUGCUUAAGCAGAGAAUCUGACCAGAAUGUUCGUGGUACAGAGAAACAAUCUUUCUGGGAGAAAGAAGACAAUUGAGGCUUUCGAAUAUAAGCUAAAUAAGCUUCAAAGGGUAUAUAAAAAAGAAUCAGGUACAAAUCCUUUACUACAUUCUUUUGUACAAAUCAAUUUUUGUCUAGAAAAUCAUACCUUACUAUGCAUCCCUAUUGUGUUCCUCCACCAUCUAUUUUGUUUUUUUAAGCGUUAUUUCAUUUUCAUGUUCACAGAAGCUUGUUGCUACAACUGCAUGAGCAAAACAGCCAGUAGCAACAGAAAUGCAUUAAUAUCUCUCCUCAGACCUUGAAAGCAUUUUCCUUAAAGGUGAACAAUAUUCCGCAUACAAGGACUUUUUCAGGACUAUGUGCCAGAAAUUAUACUGAAUGUUUCUUAAUUUUUACGUAAAUCGGACAAUAUCGUUUUUCAGCUUCCCCAAGUAUUAUUACCCCAGUGUUAUAAAUGACACUGAAGUAAAGGGUAUAUCACUCUCUUUAUUCUGUGUAGGUGUAUCUGCUUACAGCUAAGGAUUUCCUAAAUUAUAGUUUUGUAAACAUUAGUUCUAAAUCAUUCUGAUCACUUGAAUUUUGAAAAUGUCAAAACCAAUCACAUUUAUGUAGUAGAAAAUACAGGUUUGAGGUGCAUUGGCUCACUGUUUUAUUUACUAUGGAUCAGUGGAGUAGAAAUUCCCAUCGCGGAAGAGGGUUCAUUCCUGUCUCUCAGCCUCAGCAAAGUUAAACAUUUCAGACCUUUCCUGACUUUGGAUCUAUUGCGCAUGCUCUGUCGUUUACCACUAUCCAAUCCUGGGGGGCAUAUAGAGCCACUCAGAGCCUUAGAGGUACCUUCAGUGAAAUGGAACCAAUCACCAUAUAGUGUAGCCUAUUGUUCGUCUGACCAAAAUGCACUAUGUUGCGAUAGCAUGGAUUCUACAGGCCCGUGAAGCCCAUUUGGACCACAAGACACUCUUUCCAUCAUGCCUGCACACAUAUCCCUCACUCUUCAUUGAUUCAUGCAGACUUUUAAAAGUAUUCAGCAAUAAGCAUCCUACCCCCAAGAAGCUUAUGAUCUCAUGGAGAAGAUGGCCAAGCAACAGACAAUCCCAACAUGGUGAAUGCCGCUAAAACAAAUGCGUACCUGGAUCUCCGUGAGUGCUAGGAGGAAAGCAACCCAAACUCAGAAAAGUAGGAGAGGUGUCAGGGAAGACAUUUUCCAGAAGAUGGUUUCAUGUCUAACAAAGCCGUGAGACAAGCAAAGAGGAGGUGAAAGGCUCAGCGCUCUAUGGGACAUUUCCUUAAGUCCAGUAUCUCUCGAGUUGAGUGUGGGAAGCUAAAAGGGAGGAAAUAGAAAUGAAAAAUGGGAGUUCUUGAGAGGCUUUACUUACCCUGCACAAGCCAAGGACAGGUCUGCAGGAAGUAAGCAGAUGCACAGUUAGGAAAGCCCACAUCAGGAGUUAGUCACGACAGAGAAAGAUUUGUACACUUUGGAAAUCGUAAAAGGAUGAAAAGCCCAGGUCCUUAUUUCCGUGUUUUCGCCUGUUUUUCACGUUCCUCCCGGAUUUCAAUUUCUUUCUGGAAUCUCAGCUCUCUGCAUCAUCUGCUCUUGCAGGAACACUAAACUGGAAACGCAACCCUACGAUUCAGCGAACUACGUCCCAUCAAGAUUACUGGGUACAAAUACAUUUACUUUCGUGUUCUCUUGUGACUGUCUGUAUCACUGCACACGGUUGUUACUGUGAAACAAGCAUUAAAGUCUGUGUAGAUUACUGAGUACAUAUACAUUUCUUUUCUUGUUCUCCCGUGACUUUUGAUAUCACUGCACACAACUGUUGCUGUAAGAUGAACAUUAAAAAAAGCCGCUUCUGACCGGCACGGGGAUCGAACCCGCGACCUUGGCGUUAUUAGCACCACGCUCUAACCGACUGAGCUAACCGGCCCCGCAUACUAAAACCCACCCUAAAUCUCUUGAGAAGUUUAAAGGCGAACGUUAUUCCAAUCACCGAAGAAACUUUUCUGAACUUCUCGGAACUGGAAAGAACCUGCGAUCUUUGCUAACUUGGUUACGAUCCUCGGCAAAUUUCUCCGAACCCUGACAUUUCAGUUAAAAUACAAUUCUGAGGAAGGAAAGUUCAAAUGUCACCUGCUUCAGUGUUUCAUGACAAGGGGUUUCAGUGACCACCCUUUUAAACGCAACGCCAUCACCGUCCGCCGGUACUGUGGCCUGCCCUUAUCACUCCUUUCUACUUUGCUUCCGUAGCUUCCGAGCAACCCGUGAAGAAAUUGACGGAAAACGGAAGGAAUUACCGCCAGUUUCUUUCCACGGGCCGUCAAGGCCAAUAUAAGUCCCCACCCAGGCUCCUCUGCUCGUAACUUCCAGCACGACUCCCACUGUAUUCGCCCAUGUUUCCCAAAAGUGAGUAUUUGAUCCCUACCCCACCCCAUUUUUAGAAAACUCAGGAAAACGCUCUCGUAUUUCUAUCUGAAAAGGACACUGUAGAGAAAUACGUUCCAUUACAGUCUUUGUGUUCGCAUUGUAUUCCUUCUCGAUGAAACAGGUGUAAGUCCAUUGGUAUUUUACGCACGACAAGACAACUUUGAAGCCCGACUCAUGACCUUUAGAUUAAGAAACACUCUCCGGGAGCUCUGCUGAUCGCUGGGUCUUACGAGGUUGAUGCCUUCUGUCCCAAACAGAACUAUUUCCCUGCGUGUUUCCGCCUGGCUGCCCACUUCUCCGGUAGAGAAACAGCUGUUCCUCGGGAUUCAUUUUUGGAAGUUCUUUGGGUCCUGGGUAAUGGGGCCGCAUCCUGCAGCGUCGACAAGGUGGUUGAAUACGCAGGAACACCCACAGCACCCAGGGACUAAUAAAUAGCUCAAUAGAUACAUUUCGAAUAACUGAAUAAAGGAAAUCUCAACCAACCCCCUUGCCGUAUUACAGAUGGUCCAGCUCUCUGCCUAGACUACUGUGCUAAUGUCCUGUUCCUUCUCCCGGCUUUUGAACUAGAUUCUCACCUCUCUCCAAUCCAUCUUUCGCAGGGCUGGCCUGUCUUUCCGCCUCACUUCUGAGAUUCUAUCCAUUGCAGCCUCUAUGCAAACCGACUCUGGUUAAGAUUUCAGUCGGUAUGGCUCCCCUCUUCCGCACUUUGCACUGCGAGAAAUGCCCUUCCUUGAGGCAGCUGGAGGCCUCCUCCCCCUGAGAGCUUAAUUGUGGACACAGCCUUGAGUAGAGGCGAAAAGGAAAGAAGGCUGGGAGAUAAUGGGGGAAAGCACACCUUUGGUCUGGUUUGAAAGCUGGCGCCCGAAAAGGGGAGCGAAAGGACAAGAAAAAAAAAAACACGCUCCGAAAGUGUCUGAGAUUGCUGCGGCCAUAAAGCAGAGCACUAACCGCGGUACUGAUAAGGGAGGGGAGCAGGGCUCCGCCGCCGGGCCUGUGCCCAUGGACCUAGGUGAGGACGGGCACUCCUUCCUCCGCGGCCAAACGUUGCAUUUCCCAAGACCACCCUGACCCGCCACGCCCCCAUCCUGUGCCUAUAAAAACUCCCGAGACCCUAGCGGGCACAGACACAAGCGGCUGGACAUGAAGAGGAACACACCGGCGGGAGAACACAGAACACGCACCCUUUCUUUUAGUCACCCUGGAGGCCUCGGAGAAGGCGGUUUCAGUGAUCCGUGAAGAGACCCCGAGUCUUUUACAUCCCGGAGAAUGACAAGAGAGCGAGUACCUGGGCGACGUUUACGUUCUGGGAUUUCGGGAGAUGCGGUUUUCUGCACGCCAGGGGCCAAGCCUGAGACGUAGAUGGACGGCAGGGAUAGGAGCUCUCUCCGCGCCACAAACGCCCCUGCUCAUACCUGGGUUCCUUGAUUUUCCUGCCUAUAUAACCCAGCCUCCCAUGGCCGGGCUCUGAGCUCUCAUUCUGCGGACUGGGACAAAGGGGUUAACUGUGAUGCGCUUUGUAUAACCCCAGGAUUCUGCACUUGCCCAAGGGCGAGGUGCAAAUCAAAAACUACGCACAACUGAACACCGAGAUCAGCUUACUCAGACCCGAUGAUCCAAGAUAAGACCAAAGCCAAACGGAUCCAGCAACUCUGCGCAGAUCUUCAUGUUCCAGCAGCUAAGUUCCACUGAAUAAACCUAUGAUUCGCCUAGUUUAGAAAUUGUCUAGUCCCUCCUGAGAAGGACCUUACUAACUUUCCCCCUAAAAGUGUCCUAUGAAUAGCUCCAGUCCCCAAACCCUUUAAAUUCUGGUCUCUGACUCACCCUUGUUUUAGGCAGUACUGGGACUCCACAGAGGUACGGCUCUUUGCUCAGCAAGUUUAAUAAAUCCAAGAAAUUGACAAGCUUAUUCUGAAGGACCUAGAGUAACCUAAAUAAUUAGGAAAAGAAAAACAAAGUUAGAGGACUUACACCAAGUAAUUUCAAGACUUAUUAUAAAGCUAAG